GGCCCAAUGGUCUAGAGGUAAGAUACUUGCUUUGGGAUCACAACUGCAAGGGAUCCCGGGUUCGAAUCCCGGUUGGGCCC
rnacentral:tRNA from 1 species